UUUUUUUUUUUUUUUAAUUUAAUUACCCCUCCCUGCCCUGGCUCUGCCAGCUUCAGCUCCACCUCCUUGGAGGAAGCAGGCGCUUUUACAGAGCGCCGCGCGGCAGGUCCCCUUUCAGCCAAUCACAUCUGCGGAACCGCGUUCCGAGUCGUUUGAGGGUGUCUGGUAAAGCAAGCUCGGGGAGGUGUUGGAAAUCUGAAUGUCACCCGCGGUCCGGAGCAGAUAGGAUGGGCUGGGAAGGUACCCGCGAACUGCCGCCGGAAUUCGCUGGCAGCUGUGCGAGGCUCAGGUGUUCUAGUUUCUUUGACAUUUCCCUUCCUGAAAGCGGCAAGGAGAGGUCUAAGAGUGGGCAAACUUCAACGUUCGGUUACAGUGUAAUUAAUGAGAGUGGUGAGUUUUUAUGCAGUGUAAUUAUGCCACGAUUUGUUGUUGCUCAGUGGCUUUUUCAGAAAUUUCUACAGAUUAUUUAAAUUUUCCACAAAUUUCUACGGAUUAAUUCAAUGGCAGCUCACUUUCUCCUUUUAUGAUCGGAUGUGUCCAAAAGUGAGGAAAAAGACAAUUGUCUACAAAGAAAGAGGCUGCCAAGUGGAGACAGAAAAGCAGUUAUGAGACUGAUGAUAGAUUCCAAUUUGUUAUCGAAAGGAAGGAGGAAACCUGAACAGUACAUCCAGAGAAUCCAGCAAAGCAUACCACGGCAUGAACAUGCAAGUGGACAGAAUUAAAACACAUGCCAGAAACACUAAUGGAUUCUAAACAAGAUGCAGUUUCAUUUCCUGAGCCUAUACGUGAUGUUUUUAACUGUUCUCCAGUUAAUAUGUCUCCAUUUCCAGAAAUCUAACAGGAGAAUCUCUGACUGCUUAACAGAUCACCUAAGCUUGCGAUUUGUGCAAUCCAUUCUAGAGUAAGGGCUCCCCGGCUGCUCCCCGGCCACUGUGUACCCAAAGCAGCGGCUGAAAUAGCCCGGAGUCCAACAGCUCAGCGUCAAGCAGCUCGUGGCAAACGCAGCCGCCGGUCUUGACUGCCAUCACCCAAGGGGUUCCUCUGGGCUCUCCCGCGAGCCAACAGCCGACCUCUCUCCAGCCUAGUCUGGGAAACUCCAGCCAACCCAGGAUCCCAUUUUGUAGUCCCGGGCAGACCCGAAACCCCUGAAAGAACUCCACUCCAGAAGACGCCAGAACAAGUUCCCACGAAUUUCAUGGGCGCCCUUCACAUGAAAACCUCAGCUCCCCUAUCCUCAAGGAACGGGGAAGGGCGCCGGGGAGGGACUUCGGUGGCCAGCUGUCCCUGGGUCGUGGGCGCUGUUUGCUCUGCGGAGCGCCAGCCCUGCACACAGCGGGUGCGGGAAGCGUUGAUGGGAGGCUGGAGGGCGGGGUGAGCGUAAACUAGGAUCUAGCCGGUUCCAGGCGUGGAGAAUCAAAUGUGGUCCUAGAUCUGUAAGUUGCGAAAAGGGGCUUUUGGGAGCGUCAGAGCUUUCUCACUCCGGCCCCCCGCCGCCUUGAGGCUGGCAGAUUUAUACCACACAGGUGGAUGGAGACCUAAACAAAACAGUCCCUGCCGCUGCCUGCCGCUCGCCCCCCACGUCCCCCGGGCCCACCGCAAACUUCAACAAAAUAAACAACUCACCACAGGCA